AAAUAUAGCUGUUCAACCACCGAAAACCCCGAUUUAUUGAGUUGCAGAAAUCCAGGUUCGGUUUCUGAAGUCCCUAACUUCAGUUGCCAAAAGUUGGGGCGCCAAAAUCUAACUUUUGAAAACUAGACUUUGGCUGUUGAAGUACUCUCUGGACAUAAAUACACAAAGGCUUUAAAAACUCAUAACUUUUUGAUUUUUUAUCCGUUCAAAGCAUUAGAAAGCUAAUUUAAUAAUCCUUUCAAUAAAAACACUUUCAAAAACUGAUUUUGCAUUUCUCAA
rnacentral:misc_RNA from 1 species